rnacentral:misc_RNA from 1 species
AACUUUUGGCAACGGAUCUCUUGGCUCUGGCAUCGAUGAAGAACGCAGCGAAAUGCGAUAAGUAAUGUGAAUUGCAGAAUUCAGUGAAUCCUCGCAUCUUUGAACUCACAUUGCGCCCCUUGGUAUUCCGGGGGGCAUGCCUGUUCGAGCGUCAUUAUCACCCCUCAGGCUCAGCUUGGUGUUGGGGCCUGCCCGUCACAGGGCAGCCCUUAAAAGCAGUGGCGGUGCCAUCUGGCUCUACGCGUAGUAAUACAUCUCGCGACAGAGUCCCGGUGGUGUCCUGCCAGAACCCCCCAUAUUUUUAAUGAUUGACCUCGGAUCAGGUAGGGAUACCCGCUGAACUUAAGCAUAUCAAUAAGGGGAGGCU